rnacentral:rRNA from 1 species
GACGUAGGGCGCGAGCGUUGUCCGGAUUUAUUGGGCGUAAAGAGCUCGUAGGCGGCUUGUCGCGUCGUCCGUGAAAACCCGGGGCUCAACUCCGGGCUUGCGGGCGAUACGGGCAGGCUAGAGUUCGGUAGGGGAGACUGGAAUUCCUGGUGUAGCGGUGAAAUGCGCAGAUAUCAGGAGGAACACCGGUGGCGAAGGCGGGUCUCUGGGCCGAUACUGACGCUGAGGAGCGAAAGCGUGGGGAGCGAACAGGAUUAGAAACCCCCGGU